AAAUGCUGAAGCAAAGCUACAGAGAGGGGCGUUUCUCCAGGAUUGCGGUGGAGUGAGGAAAGAACAACAUGUCUGAGUUCCCCUGGACGUGGCCCUGUUUUCCCGGAGCAGAUCCUUAGUUUUGAAUGAUUGGAGAGUGGCUAUAGCGAGCAGUGAGUGAGCGAAGAGAAGCUUUCCCUGUCCUCCCCACCUUGGAUUUCCUGGAGCCUGGACCCCGUCACACUUGUAUAUAGCACAAUUCCCUGCACUGUCUGUACACAUACCUGGUGUAAUAAACUAUUUCUCCUCAAAGUGAA